GGGAACCGCCUGAACUGAAACAUCUAAGUAGGGCGAGGAAAAGAAAUCAAACGAGAUUCCGCAAGUAGUGGCGAGCGAACGCGGAAGAGGCCAAACCAUGAGCAGCAAUGCGCAUGGGGUAAGGACAGCUAAGAAAGGCUGGAAUUCAGCAGAACGGCAUGGAAAGGCCGGCCAGAGAGCGUGAAAGCCGCGUAAGUGAAGGAUGAAAGCCAGGGGCUGUAUCCAGAGUACCGCCGGACACGAGAAAUCCGGUGGGAAAAUGGGGGGACCACCCUCCAAGCCUAAAUACUACCUGGUGACCGAUAGUGAAAAGUACUGUGAAGGAAAGGUGAAAAGCACCCCGGGAGGGGAGUGAAAAAGAACCUGAAACCUUGUGCUUACAAGCACCGAGAGCCCGUCAAAGGGUGAUCGGGUACCUUUUGUAGAAUGGUCCGGCGAGUGAAUGUGACUGGCAAGGUUAAGCGCUAAAGGAGUGAAGCCGCAGGGAAACCGAGUCUUAACAGGGCGAUAGAGUCAGUUGUAUUCGACCCGAAACCGGGUGACCUAUCCAUGUCCAGGUUGAAGUGGGGGUAAAACUCCAUGGAGGACCGAACCGACUCCCGUUGAAAUGGUAGCGGAUGAGGUGUGGGUAGCGGAGAAAUUCCAAUCGAACCCGGAGAUAGCUGGUUCUCUCCGAAAUAGCUUUAGGGCUAGCCUCGCGUAAGAUUACCGGAGGUAAAGCACUGAAUGGUAGAGGGGCCGAAAGGCUGCCAAAGCCUAUCAAACUAAGAAUGCCGGAUAAUUAAAGCGCGGGAGUCAGACGGCGUGAGAUAAGUUUCGUCGUCAAAAGGGAAACAGCCCAGACCCACAGCUAAGGUCCCCAAAUAUGGUUAAGUGGAAAAGGAUGUGGGGUUGCACAGACAACCAGGAUGUUGGCUCAGAAGCAGCCAUACAUUAAAAGAGUGCGUAAUAGCUCACUGGUCGAGUGACCCUGCGCCGAAAAUUCAACGGGGCUAAAAUCAUAUACCGAAGCUUGGGAUUCCGCAAGGGAUGGUAGGAGAGCGUUCUGUACGGAUUGAAAUAGGAGCGGAAGCGCCUGUGGACUGUACAGAAGAGAGAAUGCCGGAAUGAGUAGCGCGAAAUAUGUGAGAAUCAUAUUGGCCGAAAGUCUAAGGUUUUUGGAGGAAGGUUCGUCCGCUCCAAGUAAGUCGGGAGCUAAGGUGAGGCCGAAAGGCGUAAUCGAUGCACAUACGGUUGAUAUUCCGUAACCGCAGAAGGAUUUAAGCAAGAUGACACCUGAGAAGUGCAUAACCCGGGGGAUGGUAGACCCGGGCGUAAGGGACCGAAAUUAGAGUAGGGAAGUAUGCAUGGAACAGGGCGGGAAAAGUCUUGAGGGAUAUCCGAUGCGCCCGUACCGCAAACCGACACAGGUAGACAGGAAGAAGAUUCCAAGGCCAACGGGAGAAGGGUAGUUAAGGAACUCGGCAAAUUGACCCCGUAACUUAGGGAGAAGGGGUGCCACAGAGAUGUGGCCGCAGAUAAUAGGCCCAGGCGACUGUUUAUCAAAAACACAGGUCUCUGCGAAAUCGAAAGAUGACGUAUAGGGGCUGACACCUGCCCGGUGCUGGAAGGUUAAGAGGAGAUGUGCAAGCAUUGAAUUGAAGCCCCAGUAAACGGCGGCCGUAACUAUAACGGUCCUAAGGUAGCGAAAUUCCUUGUCGGGUAAGUUCCGACCCGCACGAAAGGUGUAACGAUCUGGGCACUGUCUCAAUUACCCGCCCGGCGAAAUUGUAGUACCGGUGAAGAUGCCGGUUACCCGCGACAAGACGGAAAGACCCCAUGGAGCUUUACUGUAGUUUAAUAUUGGGUUUCGGCAAUUUAUGUACAGGAUAGGUGGGAGACUAGGAGACCGUGGCGUUAGCUGCGGAGGAGUCACCCGUGGGAUACCACCCUUAAGUUGCUGAAAUUCUAACCUGCGGCCGUGAACCGGCCGGGGGACAUUGUUAGACGGGCAGUUUGACUGGGGCGGUCGCCUCCAAAAAGGUAACGGAGGCGCUCAAAGGUUGGCUCGGCACGGACGGAAACCGUGCGAGAGAGUGUAAACGCACAAGCCAGCCUGACUGCGAGGACGACGGUCCGAGCAGAAACGAAAGUUGGAGUUAGUGAUCCGGCGGUAUGAAAGUGGAAUUGCCGUCGCUCAACGGAUAAAAGCUACCCUGGGGAUAACAGGCUGAUCUCCCCCAAGAGUCCACAUCGACGGGGAGGUUUGGCACCUCGAUGUCGGCUCAUCACAUCCUGGGGCUGUAUUCGGUCCCAAGGGUUCGGCUGUUCGCCGAUUAAAGUGGUACGCGAGCUGGGUUCAGAACGUCGUGAGACAGUUCGGUCCCUAUCUGUCGUGGGCGCAGGAUAUUUGAGGAGAGCUGUCCUUAGUACGAGAGGACCGGGAUGGACGCACCUCUGGCGCACCAGUUGUCAUGCCAAUGGCACAGCUGGGCAACUAAGUGCGGAUCGGAUAAACGCUGAAAGCAUCUAAGCGUGAAGCCGACUCCAAGAUAAGAUAUCCCCCAGCGCAAGCUGGAAAGGCCCCUUGA
rnacentral:rRNA from 1 species